rnacentral:lncRNA from 1 species
UUUAAUAUCUCAACUUUUCAUUCAUGCUUCUUGUGACGAUUCUCUAAGCUGGGAUGUGCCAGAAACUUCUGUCCCCUUACCCAACUGUCCACCUUGAGAAAUGUAUCCCUGAACUUACUUCUUUGGGUUGUGUUUUUUCCCCUGUUACCCAGUAAAAGAUGUUUUUUUUCAGGGUUUUAUCCCGUCAACUGUUUGAUGAGUAUGUCACCCAUAGUCCUGCGGCAGGAAGAACAAGUAUUUUGUAGAUGGUGUGUACCUGUUUGUGUUUUGCUCUUAAAAGACUUAUAAACAUUUAUGAUUAUGUUUAGUGAACAUUGUUGAAAAUGUGUUGGAGUUAGUAUUUUAUAAUGGUAACUUACUGGAAACAUUGUGGAGGCUUGCCAUCUUCUGGGUCUGUAGCCUCUGCUAACCAUGGUGGCUUCACAGUUUUCAUUAAAUAGGAAGAGGCUCAUUGUUAACUGUGAUGAGCACAGAUUCCUACUACGGAGUAUCUUCAUGAAAGUUUCUGAUUUGGAAGCUCGCUUCUUGGCAGAUGUUACUGUUUUUCCUUGUUGUAAGGCUGGUGAGUAGCUUUUAUUGGGAGUAGAAGUAUCAGCUCCUGUUGCUCAUUCCCGCUUGCCUCCUAUGAAUCAUCUUCAGUCUGCUGUUUCUUUGCAAGAGUCUUUUAAAGCCACUUAGGCCAUUGAAGAGGGUUGGCUCAAUGAGAGCUAUGUAGUAGGUAAAUCCACAUGCCCGGGAAUAGAGGAGUUGCAGUACACUCGCUACACUGAAAAAGCAGCAUGGGACUUCUGAUGGUAGGUGCAGCGAGGGUCGAUCUGUAUUUGAACUUUCAGCUAAAGUUAACUUAUUGUCUUGUCAAGAUAAAAAAGUAAAUACAAAUAGAGAUUCUAGUUUCUUCUUCCUAAACCCCAGCAGUCCCCUGGCCUGCUCCUGGGGUGUGUUCUUCGUGUGGAGACCACUGCUGUAAGGCCUGGGCACCUGGCCAGGUGGGCUAGAGGGCUGGCUUUGCUGGUCCUGCACAAGGAGGUCCUGCCUAAGCUCCUCCUGACCCUGGGCUUGCGUCUUGUCUUCAGCUCACGUUAGUCUGUGACCCCUUCAUCCUGUCUUCGUCUGGGUGCUCUGCUUGGGCUGUUCUCUUGCAAUAUUUGUGUUGAAGCACUAACUUGAGUUGGGCCUUUAAAAACAGCCACCUGGGUGGCUCAGUGGUUCAGCAUCUGCCUUUGGCUCAGGUCGUGAUCCUGGGGUCCUGGGAUCAAGUCCUGUAUCACUGCCCCCCCCCCUUCCCUGUGGGGAGCCUGCUUCUCCCUCUGCCCAUGUCUCUGCCUCUCUCUGUAUCUUUCAUGAAUAAAUAAAUACAAUCUUUAAAAAUAAAAAUAAAAAAA